rnacentral:rRNA from 1 species
CAGUAGCCGCGGGAACACGUAGGUGGCAAGCGUUGUCCGGAAUUAUUGGGCGUAAAGCGCGCGCAGGCGGAUAGGUCAGUCUGUCUUAAAAGUUCGGGGCUUAACCCCGUGAUGGGAUGGAAACUGCCAAUCUAGAGUAUCGGAGAGGAAAGUGGAAUUCCUAGUGUAGCGGUGAAAUGCGUAGAUAUUAGGAAGAACACCAGUGACGAAGGCGACUUUCUGGACGAAAACUGACGCUGAGGCGCGAAAGCCAGGGGAGCGAACGGGAUUAGAUACCCCCGUAGUCCCUGUCUCUUAUACA